rnacentral:rRNA from 1 species
UACGAAGGGUGCAAGCGUUACUCGGAAUUACUGGGCGUAAAGCGUGCGUAGGUGGUUUGUUAAGUCUGUUGUGAAAGCCCCGGGCUCAACCUGGGAAUGGCAAUGGAUACCGGCAGGCUAGAGUGCGGUAGAGGGUAGUGGAAUUCCCGGUGUAGCGGUGAAAUGCGUAGAGAUCGGGAGGAACACCAGUGGCGAAGGCGGCUACCUGGACCAGCACUGACACUGAGGCACGAAAGCGUGGGGAGCAAACAGG